AGCCACCCACGUUCAGACACUAAUCCUGGCAAGAGGAAGAGUCUCCAAGCAGGUUAAUUCUCAAAGGACAAAAUAAGCAAAAUGACUGCUCAACAGACUGAGAUGUAAUAACACAUUAUCCAAUGUCCCCUGGGGGCUAUGUCACCCUCAGAAAAGGCAGAGAGCUAGAACUACACCUCCACCACAGGACACCACCAUUAACUGACCUCAAUCUGAAGUUCUCUAUGGUAAUGGUAUAUCUUAGUAAUGUAGAUAAUCCUCUUUCCAGCUAGAUAGUUUUAAAAUCUAUCCCAUUUACUUUCUAUAAUCUU
rnacentral:lncRNA from 1 species